UGGGGAAUAUUGCACAAUGGGCGCAAGCCUGAUGCAGCCAUGCCGCGUGUAAGAAGAAGGCCUUCGGGUUGUAAAGUACUUUCAGCGGGGAGGAAGGGAGUAAAGUUAAUACCUUUGCUCAUUGACGUUACCCGCAGAAGAAGCACCGGCUAACUCCGUGCCAGCAGCCGCGGUAAUACGGAGGGUGCAAGCGUUAAUCGGAAUUACUGGGCGUAAAGCGCACGCAGGCGGUUUGUUAAGUCAGAUGUGAAAUCCCCGGGCUCAACCUGGGAACUGCAUCUGAUACUGGCAAGCUUGAGUCUCGUAGAGGGGGGUAGAAUUCCAGGUGUAGCGGUGAAAUGCGUAGAGAUCUGGAGGAAUACCGGUGGCGAAGGCGGCCCCCUGGACAAAGACUGACGCUCAGGUGCGAAAGCGUGGGGAGCAAACAGG
rnacentral:rRNA from 1 species